CCCGUCCGUUUCCCAUCCCAUCCCACUCCCUUCUAGGCGACAACCGCCGCGCUUCCUCGCUGUAAACACAAAGGCGUAAACGUGAGGCGCCAGCAUGCCGGCGUAGUCGUAGAUGACCUCCUCGCCGUCGUCGUCCACGCCUCGCUUCGCGGGUCUGCACAGGAAGCAUCCCGCCACCUGGAUGCCGCCUAGCCCGUCGCCGUACGCUCUGGCGUUGGCCUCGCGGAUCACCUGCAGGAGCCCGUCCUCGGCCAUUGCACUGCAGCCGGCAAGUCGGCUCGGCAAGGACGUACAACAUCCUUUUUGAAAGGGAGCGUGGCCUGUCAAGAUCAGGCACUAGCCCCUCAUUACCAUCAUCAGCGAGUGGCAGCUCAGGAGCCCCAUCGAAUCAUAGCGGAGGAAAACAAGAUAGAUAAGCCUGACUCAAGAGUCAAUCCUCAUAAACCUCUCCUUCAAGGAUGCAUCAUUGUGGAUUGCAAGCAACGGAAUUCAGGUUGUUAAAUUGUUUAUGGUCAGGGAGAGAUCAUUCUGAAGGUUAACUUUUCAGGGUUCCAAAUAAAAAGAGGCAGUUCCAAUAUGACUUCAAAAAAUGAAAUUUAAUUCCAUAUUAAGCUCUACACGACUACACCAUAGUGACAGUCUCAUGUGAGAAUUUAAAGCUAUGCAAGACUUUAUUAUAGUUCUGUUUUCAUUACCCCAGUAUGAUUCUUUUAGGUAAUCCCUAUAACAAAGAGUUUAUUGUCAUUCACUAAUAACUUUGCUUAAGGAACCUUUUUAUUUUUAUUUGCAAAGGUAACCAUGUUCAUUUAUGUAAGCCUGCAUCAAGGUAUUAGUUUUAAAAUUUUAAUGUUUUUUCUUUUUUUUCUCAAACAUGUAAGAGGGCUCUGUAUCAUUCAUCAUAUUAGAUAACAUGCUGACUGCACGGCUGAUUCAGUAAACCAACUAGAAAUCUUUCAAACUUUU